CCUUGUUAAUACGCCUUGAUAAACAUAUUAAAAGAUAAUUGUACUGCCAAAGUUGUCUGUUAUUUUUUUCGGCACAACAAACAGAAGUCAAUUGACAGUUAAAACAUCUAAACAAGUGAAGAAAAUAAUAAUCAGCUGUUCUACUUAGGUCACCUUAUACUUUGUGGCCACCUUCUUGCGCCUUGUUUCUUUUAUGUUUGCAAUAUUUUUUUUUGUAAAAUUGUGCUGUUUUUAUUAUUCCUUAUUCACAAAAAUAUAAUAUCUUCAGAAUGGCUAUGUGGCAUGUAAUGAUGGGCUUUGGAAUUGGGUUGCUUGCUACAAUUUUAACAGUCAUCGUAAAUCAACGGCAUUAUCGAGGAAUAUCGCAUAAACCUAAUUCUAAUUUCUUUUCACCACCAGGUGAUAAAUGUGCAAUUUGCCUUGCUGAUAUGACAAAUGACGAAAUGGUUUAUAUGAAUUGCGGACAUGCAAUUCAUGAACAAUGCUUGAAAGACCUAAGGAAACAUGGAGACAAUAAAUGCCCGAUCUGUCGCGAAAAAAUAUAAGUAACUAAAGCGGAAUAUAUUUAUAAGAUUGUAUAUGGUAUACUUACGUAGGUAUAUCCUUCUUUGAUUUUAUGAGAUUGAAUUGCUAUUAUUUAUUAUAUACAUCUAGAUAAAACUUAAAAAUAAAAGUACAUACCUAUAAAAAA